AGAGUUUGAUCAUGGCUCAGAACGAACGCUGGCGGCAGGCUUAACACAUGCAAGUCGAACGCAUCCUUCGGGGUGAGUGGCAGACGGGUGAGUAACGCGUGGGAACGUGCCCUUCAGUUCGGAAUAACCCAGGGAAACUUGGGCUAAUACCGGAUACGUGCGAGAGCAGAAAGAUUUAUCGCUGAAGGAUCGGCCCGCGUCUAAUUAGCUAGUUGGUGAGGUAAUGGCUCACCAAGGCGACGAUCAGUAGCUGGUCUGAGAGGAUGAUCAGCCACAUUGGGACUGAGACACGGCCCAAACUCCUACGGGAGGCAGCAGUGGGGAAUAUUGGACAAUGGGCGCAAGCCUGAUCCAGCCAUGCCGCGUGAGUGAUGAAGGCCUUAGGGUUGUAAAGCUCUUUCGGCGGGGACGAUAAUGACGGUACCCGCAGAAGAAGCCCCGGCUAACUUCGUGCCAGCAGCCGCGGUAAUUCGAAGGGGGCUAGCGUUGUUCGGAAUCACUGGGCGUAAAGGGCGCGUAGGCGGCUUGAUAAGUCGGGGGUGAAAGCCUGUGGCUCAACCACAGAAUUGCCUUCGAUACUGUCUGGCUUGAGACCGGAAGAGGUAAGUGGAACUGCGAGUGUAGAGGUGAAAUUCGUAGAUAUUCGCAAGAACACCAGUGGCGAAGGCGGCUUACUGGUCCGGUUCUGACGCUGAGGCGCGAAAGCGUGGGGAGCAAACAGGAUUAGAUACCCUGGUAGUCCACGCCGUAAACGAUGAAUGCCAGCCGUUGGCGAGCUUGCUCGUCAGUGGCGCAGCUAACGCUUUAAGCAUUCCGCCUGGGGAGUACGGUCGCAAGAUUAAAACUUAAAUGAAUUGACGG
rnacentral:rRNA from 1 species